GACGAACGCUGGCGGCGUGCUUAACACAUGCAAGUCGAGCGGAGCGGCGAACGGGUGAGUAACGCGAGAGUAACUGCCCCCCUCUCUGGGAUAACAGUUGGAAACGGCUGCUAAUACCGGAUAGUGGGGGAUGACUCGCGUCCUAUCAGCUUGUUGGUGGGGUAGUGGCCUACCAAGGCGACGACGGGUAGCCGGCCUGAGAGGGCGACCAGGCACAUGGGGCUAAGGGACGGCGCAAACUGCUACGGGGGGCAGCGGUGGGGAGUAUUGCGCAAUGGGGGAAACCCUGAUGCAGAAGCGCCGCGUGCGGAAUGACGGCCUUCGGGUUGUAAACCGCUUUCAGCCAUGACGCGGUAGUGGCAGAAGAAGCACCGGCUAACUACGUGCCAGCAGCCGCGGUAAUUC
rnacentral:rRNA from 1 species